CCUACGGGAGGCAGCAGUGAGGAAUAUUGGUCAAUGGACGAGAGUCUGACCCAGCCACGUCGCGUGAAGGAUGACUGCCCUCUGGGUUGUAAACUUCUUUUAUAUGGGAAUAAAACAGGGUAUGCAUACCCUCUUGUAUGUACCAUAUGACUAAGCAUCGGCUAACUCCGUGCCAGCAGCCGCGGUAAUACGGAGGAUCCGAGCGUUAUCCGGAUUUAUUGGGUUUAAAGGGAGCGUAGGUGGAUUGUUAAGUCAGUUGUGAAAGUUUGCGGCUCAACCGUAAAAUUGCAGUUGAAACUGGCAGUCUUGAGUACAGUAGAGGUGGGCGGAAUUCGUGGUGUAGCGGUGAAAUGCGUAGAUAUCACGAAGAACUCCGAUUGCGAAGGCAGCUCGCUGGACUGCAACUGACACUGAGGCGCGAAAGUGUGGGUAUCAAACAGGAUUAGAUACCCGUGUAGUC
rnacentral:rRNA from 1 species